GUUGUAUUGUCUCACAGUUCUGGAGGCUGGAAGACCAAGAUCAAGGUGCUGGCAGGGCUGGUUUCUGCUGAGGCCUCUCUUCUUGGCUUGCAGACAGCCGUCUUCCCUCUGUGUCAUCUUCU
rnacentral:miRNA from 1 species